UUCCGGUUGAUCCUGCCGGAGGCUACCGCUAUUGGAGUUCGAUUAAGCCAUGCGAGUCUAGAGGCCUAGCCUCGGCGUACCGCUCAGUAACACGUGGGUAACCUACCCUAUGCUGGGGAAUAAGCUCGGGAAACUGAGAAUAAUGCCCCAUAGUCCACUACGCCUGGAACGGUGAGUGGAUUAAAGCUCCGGCGGCAUAGGAUGGGCCUGCGGCGUAUCAGGUUGUAGGGGGUGUAAUGUACCCUCUAGCCAUCCACGCGUACGGGUGUUGGGAGACAUUGCCCGGAGAUGGAUUCUGAGACACGAAUCCAGACCCUACGGGGUGCAGCAGGCGCGAAAACUUGGCAAUGCGAGAAAUCGUGACCAGGGAACUCCAAGUGGCAGGGGUAAGACCCUGUCUUUUUCCGACUCUAAAUAGGUCGGCGAAUAAGGGGUGGGUAAGGACGGUGCCAGCCGCCGCGGUAAUACCGGCGCCUCAAGUGAUAGUCGCUUUUAUUGGGCCUAAAACGUCCGUAGCCGGUCUGGUACAUUCGUGGGUAAAUCAACUCGCUUAACGAGUUGAAUUCUGCGAGGACGGCCAGACUUGGGACCGGGAGAGGUGUGGGGUACUCUCAGGGUAGGGGUAAAAUCCUGUCAUCCUGAGAGGACCACCUGUUGCGAAGGCUCCACACUAGAACGGAUCCGACGGUCAGGGACGAAGCCUAGGGGCACGAACCGGAUUAGAUACCCGGGUAGUCCUAGGUGUAAACGCUGUGGACUUGAUGUUGGGGACGCUCCGAGCGUUCUCAGUGUCGAAGCGAAGGUGAUAAGUCCACUGCCUGGGGAGUACGGUCGCAAGGCUGAAACUUAAAGGAAUUGGCGGGGGAGCACCGCAACCUGAGGAUUGUGCGGUUUAAUUGGACUCAACGCCGGG
rnacentral:rRNA from 1 species